rnacentral:rRNA from 1 species
CCCUUAGAUGUUCUGGACCGCACGCGCGCUACACUGAUGCAUUCAACGAGCCUAUCCUUGACCGACAGGUCCGGGUAAUCUUUGAAUCUGCAUCGUGACGGGGAUAGAUUAUUGCAAUUAUUAAUCUUCAACGAGGAAUGCCUAGUAGGCGCAAGUCAUCAGCUUGCGUCGAUUACGUCCCUGCCCUUUGUACACACCGCCCGUCGCUCCUACCGAUUGGGUGUGCUGGUGAAAUGUUCGGAUCGGCCGUUUGUCGCGGUUUCCGCGUCAUGUGGCUGAGAAGUUCAUUAAACCCUCCCACCUAGAGGAAGGAGAAGUCGUAACA